GACGAACGCUGGCGGCGUGCCUAAUACAUGCAAGUCGAACGGUCUUUUCUAUGGAAGCUUGCUUCCGCUGAGAAGAUAGUGGCGAACGGGUGAGUAACACGUGGGUAACCUGCCCAUAAGAGGGGGAUAACAUCCGGAAACGGGUGCUAAUACCGCAUAGUUUUCUUGAUCGCAUGAUUGAGAAAGGAAAGACGGCCUUUGUGCUGUCGCUUAUGGAUGGACCCGCGGCGUAUUAGUUAGUUGGUGAGGUAACGGCUCACCAAGACGAUGAUACGUAGCCGACCUGAGAGGGUGAUCGGCCACAUUGGGACUGAGACACGGCCCAAACUCCUACGGGAGGCAGCAGUAGGGAAUCUUCCGCAAUGGACGAAAGUCUGACGGAGCAACGCCGCGUGAGUGAAGAAGGUUUUCGGAUCGUAAAACUCUGUUGUCAGAGAAGAACAAGUCGGAGAGUAACUGCUCCGGCCUUGACGGUAUCUGACCAGAAAGCCACGGCUAACUUCGUGCCAGCAGCCGCAGUAACAC
rnacentral:rRNA from 1 species